CUAAAAAAGCCUCUAGCGAGCUGGUACAUGGCCCGUACCCCAAACCGACACAGGUGGUCAGGUAGAGAAUACUAAGGCGAUCGAGAGAACUGUGGUUAAGGAACUCGGCAAAAUGCCCCCGUAACUUCGGGAGAAGGGGGACCAGUCCUGGUGACGACAUUUACUGUCUGAGCUGGGGUUGGUCGCAGAGACCAGAGAGAAGCGACUGUUUACUAAAAACACAGGUCCGUGCGAAGUCGUAAGACGAUGUAUACGGACUGACGCCUGCCCGGUGCUGGAAGGUUAAGAGGACCGGUCAGCCACUUCGGUGGCGAAGCUGAGAAUUUAAGCCCCAGUAAACGGCGGUGGUAACUAUAACCAUCCUAAGGUAGCGAAAUUCCUUGUCGGGUAAGUUCCGACCUGCACGAAUGGCGUAACGACUUCUCUGCUGUCUCAACCACAGACUCGGCGAAAUUGCAGUACGAGUAAAGAUGCUCGUUACGCGCGGCAGGACGAAAAGACCCCGGGACCUUCACUAUAGCUUGGUAUUGGUGUUCGGUUCGGUUUGUGUAGGAUAGGUGGGAGACUGUGAAACUCGCACGCCAGUGUGGGUGGAGUCAUUGUUGAAAUACCACUCUGACCGUAUUGGACAUCUAACCUCGGACCAUGAUCUGGUUCAGGGACAGUGCCUGGUGGGUAGUUUAACUGGGGCGGUUGCCUCCCAAAAAGUAACGGAGGCGCCCAAAGGUUCCCUCAGCCUGGUUGGCAAUCAGGUGUUGAGUGUAAGUGCACAAGGGAGCUUGACUGUGAGACGUACAUGUCGAGCAGGGACGAAAGUCGGGACUAGUGAUCCGGCACCGGCAAGUGGAAGCGGUGUCGCUCAACGGAUAAAAGGUACCCCGGGGAUAACAGGCUGAUCUUCCCCAAGAGUCCAUAUCGACGGGAUGGUUUGGCACCUCGAUGUCGGCUCGUCGCAUCCUGGGGCUGGAGUAGGUCCCAAGGGUUGGGCUGUUCGCCCAUUAAAGCGGCACGCGAGCUGGGUUUAGAACGUCGUGAGACAGUUCGGUCUCUAUCCGCCGCGCGCGUAAGAAACUUGAGGAAACCUGUCCCUAGUACGAGAGGACCGGGACGGACGAACCUCUGGUGUGCCAGUUGUUCCACCAGGAGCACCGCUGGUUAGCUACGUUCGGAAGGGGUAACCGCUGAAAGCAUCUAAGCGGGAAGCCUGUUCCAAGAUGAGGUUUCUCACCACCUAGCGUGGUUAAGGCCCCCCACAGACCAUGGGGUUGAUAGGCCAGAACUGUAAGCACAGCAAUGUGUUCAGGUGACUGGUACUAAUCGGCCGAGGACUU
rnacentral:rRNA from 1 species